rnacentral:rRNA from 1 species
GGGGAAAAAUUAAUUAAAUAUAAAUAAUAAAAGAAAUUUUAAGUAAAAUGGAAUAUAAAUAUAUGAUAUUUUAAUGGGGGUUAAAGUAUUUAUAAAGAAAAAAUGGGCUAAAUUUAUAGGUUAAUAGUAUUGUGAAAGAAUUUUGAAUUAAUAUAAUAAAAAUUUAAAUAAAAGUAAUUUUUAUUUAAUGUAUCUUGUGUAUCAGAGUUUAUUAAAAAAUAUUUUUAGGGAAAAAAUUCUCGAAUUUAAGAGAGAUAAUUAAUUAAAAAAGUUAUUGUGGCAAAAAUAUUUUUAAUAGUUAAUUUGAAAUGAAAUGUUAAUCGUUCUUAAAUAUAUCUAGUUUUUUUAGAAAAAAAUUUAAUUUAAAAUUUAUAAUAAUUAGAAUUAUUUAUUAAUUAGUUAAUGAAUAAUAUAUAUAUAUAUAUAUAUAUAUGUAAAUUUUAUAGAUUAAGGGAUAAGCUUUAAUUUAAAUAAGUAUAAUAAAUAAAUUUUAUAUGAAAAUUAUAUAAUUUAUAUUGUUAAAUAAUUUUAAUUUUUUAUAAAUAAUUUCAUAAAAAAUAAAAUUUAAUAAAAUUUACUUUUAUAUAAAAAAAUAAUUUAAAAUUAAAUAAAGUUAGUUAUAAUGAUAAAAUUAGUAUAUAAAAUAAUAUAAAUAAUAUAAAAUUAAAAUUAUGAAUAAAUAAUUAAAAGGAAUUCGGCAAAAUUAUAUAUUCAUUUGUUUAUCAAAAACAUGUCUUUUAGAAAUUAAUUUAAAGUCUAAUCUGCCCACUGAUUUAAAAAUUGAAGGGCUGCAGUAUUUUGACUGUACAAAGGUAGCAUAAUCAUUAGUCAUUUAAUUGAUGACUUGUAUGAAAGAUUGGAUGAAAUAUAGACUGUCUCUAAAUUAUACUAUAGAAUUUAAUUUUUUAAUUAAAAAGUUAAAAUAAUUUAAAAAGACGAGAAGACCCUAUAGAGUUUUAUAAUUUUUUAUAUUAAAAUUAUUUAUAAAAUUAUAAUAAAAUUUAAUAUGAAAAAUUAUUUUGUUGGGGUGAUAGAAAAAUAUAAUUAACUUUUUUUUUUUAUGAUAACAUAUAUAAGUGAAUAAAUGAUCCAAUUUUAUUGAUUAUAAGAAAAAAUUACCUUAGGGAUAACAGCGUAAUUUUUUUUUUUAGUACAAAUAAAAAAAAAAGUUUGCGACCUCGAUGUUGGAUUAAGAUAAAAUUUAAAUGCAGAAGUUUAAAAUUUUGAUCUGUUCGAUCAUUAAAAUCUUACAUGAUCUGAGUUCAAACCGGUGUAAGCCAGGUUGGUUUCUAUCUUUUAAAUAGAAAAAUAUUUUAGUACGAAAGGAUUGAAUAUUUAAAUUAAAUUUAAAAUAAAAUUGAAUUUUAUUAAUGAUUAAUGUAUAUAUAUAUAUAUAUAUA